CAACUGAAAUAGAACCCACGGCCUGGAGCCACGUCUAGAUCAUCCAAAUCUCAACCAAAUUGCAGACCUGCCCUGGAAGACCCUCCCAGCUAAUCUGCAAAUAUGUGAGCAAAAAAUAUAUGCUUGUUGGCCUGGCCCCAUGGCCUAUUGGUUGACUUCAGUGUGCUCUGCUUCGGUGGCCUAGGUUUGGUUCACAGGCCCAGACCUACACCAUUCAUCAGCAGCCAUGUUGUGGCAGUAACUCACAUAGAAAAUAGAGGAAGACUGGCAACAGAUGUUAGCUCAGUGCCAAAACUCCUCAGCAAAAACAAGAAAAAAGGAAAAAGAAAUAUAUGCUUGUUGUUUCAUGCCACUGGCUGGUGUGUGUGUACAUGCAUGUUUAAGAUGGAGUAUUGUGGAAAGAGCUAAUUAAUAAAGUGGAAAAGCAAUGUUUAAAGGAAAAAAGAAUUCUACAAAAUGAAAAAGAAGAUGAGCUCUUGGGUAGGAAUGUACAUUCUGAGUACAGUAUAGGAUUAAUAAAGAAAAUUCUAUAAUUGAAGAAAUCUGGUGCAACUGCAGGAUGGACUUUGUUGAAAAACUUAGAAUUAAGUACUUAUGGUAAUAAAAAACCAAGAAUACCCACUCAAAGAAUAAAAAUGUGAUAUAUUGCUUCUAGAAGUGUGUAGAGAUAAAGGUCUAUACAAGAGGUAAAAAAAUGUUUUGUUCUAUAUAAAUCACAGAAUAAGAUGAUAGAAACAAGUUCAAAUAUAUGAUUAAUUCCAAUAAAUGCUAAUGGAUUAAACUUAGAUUUUUUUAAAAAUAUGUUAUCUAAGUAUUAAAUUUACUAAUAUUAGUAAUAUUAAAAUUAUAUAUUUAAAAAGCAUGUGUGUAUAAAAUUUGGAAAAGAAUAAAAGUGAAACUAAAAGUGAUAGAAUUACAUGAUGCACUCAUACUAGUAACUGGCAGAUCAAGUGCUAACGCAUUGGUAAGUAUAUGGAUUACUUGUUUAACAAAAUUAAGUAAUACAACUUAAUAGACACAUAUAAAAUAAUGAUUGUAUGCAGCAAAUGAGGAUUAUUUAUUAUUCUCAAAUACACAGAAAGACAUUUCCAAAAACUAUUUCAAAGAAUGAAUAAAAAUCAAACAUUCUUUCUUGACAAUGCAGUGGAUUUAGAAAUCGUCAAUUAAAAGACAGUUUUAAUAUUUUACACAUUUGGAAAAAGAAAUCAUCCCUAAAGAAUUCAAAUGUUCAAGAAAUGUCAUAAUGGCAGUUACAAAAUAUUUUGAAAUAAAUGACAAUAAGAAUAAUCAUAAGGUAAGUAAAAGGAAGAAGAAUAAAAGCAAGAUGAGAAAUUAAUGAUAUAUAAAACCAAGAAAUAAAAGAGAGGACCACGUAGUUCCUUGAAAGAACUAAUUUAAUAUAGAAAUCUCCAGAAAAACUAACAAGAAAAAAAGAGAAGGCAGCAGCAGGAGCUCUGACUGCCCGUGGGUUCUGUCCCCAUGCACCAGCUCUGCCUGCCCAUGGGUCCUGUCCCCAUGCCAGCGGGGGCAGCAGCAGCAGCUCUGCCUGCCCAUGGGCUCUGUCCCCAUGCCAGCGGGGGCAGCAGAAGCGGCGGCAGCAGAAGCUCUGACUGCCCAUGGGUCCUGUCCCCAUGCUAUUCCACACUAUUUUCUAAAUAAAAGAGCACUACUGCCAGAUCUUGAGAGUCUAAGAAAUCUUUCUUUCGACUCCUCGGCUCACCGACCCCGCAUCAUUUCUGGUGGCCCGUACGGGGAAUUGCUUCAUCGGCUUGUGAGCUCGAGUUCUGGUAAGUGCCCUUUUCUUCCUUAUGCCUUUCUCUUUUUCAAGGAUGGAUCUAGAUUCACUGCUCCAUCGGGAACUUUCUCGGACAGCUGUAUGAAUCCACGUUUGCUGCCCAUGGCUACUCUAUGGGGCAAAUUGUGGCAUUCAGCUUGAAGAGAUUCAGUACCUUAAGCCUCAGGGUGAUGGAGAAUGAAUUAAUCCAUUCCUUCCUGACUUUAUCUCUAAUAGACAAAUUUUGCGUGGGCGCGGGUCGGCCACUUAAGUCAUUAGGACAGCCGCCAAUCUCCAAGACUCCCGUGGAAGGUUUCUUUUCCUAAGGCUGGAUUGGGAUCCCUCCCUCUGGCACCUGACCAUGCUCUGAACUGCGAGGAAAGUCCCACUCGGGACUCCAGUUCAAGGAAAGUACCAAACUCUAACCUUUGGUGGAGUAUGGGAACCCCUUCUUGGGAGAAUGGCUCCAGGCUGCAAUUGGGUAGAAUGUCCCCCAGACUGGCGGAAAAUUCCUCACUGUCUUUCUCUUUCUCACUGUCUUUGUCCUUUUCUCUCCUGGGGACCAUACGCCAGGCACCUAUUCCUGCCAGGCAGAAUAGGCACCAGGCACCUGUUACUGCCAGGCAUAACAGGGAAGGUAUACAAGGGAUGCAAUGCCGGGGGACGCCCCCAUCACCCCUUGCUAUAGGAACCCCACAGUAGGAACGACGGGUAGGACGCUGCCCUAGGUUCAGGGGGGAUUUUUCAUGGUAAUGGACCCGUUUCUUUUGUCUCUCUUAAGAGUUACAAUGGCCAUUUUCGUCUCCAUUUGAGCUUUGCAAUUGGGAAAGAAAUCUUUAAAGAGUAAAAGGCUCCACCGCUGGGAGCCCCAACUUUGGGUUUCUGGGCCUGAUCACCCCAGCAACCCUAAGUGGGGGUGCCCUCUCUUGACGGUUGACUCAUUGAGUAUUUUAGUCACCUACUGAGUCGGUUAUGAGGGUAGGAGACCUGUGAUUCAUUCUGUGAACUGUCGUGCUAGGGUAGUGUGCCGCAGCAUAGGAACUGUUGUGUGACUCUUAUCUUGAUAACCCUCUGGAAGAGGCCAGGAGGGCGAGGUUUGAGCUCUUCUUUUCCUUUCUUUGUCUGUCUUAUUCAUCAUCUCCUUUGUUGUCACCAAGUCGAGGUUAAAGUUCAGGCUGGACCUGAGCAGAACCUUGACCUUCUGUAAAAUUGGAAAAAUAAGCCUUUUGCCAGGGAUUUAACUCUCAAACCUGGCUCUAGGAGCCCCAGCCUCCAGCCAGUUCCAGGCCUUUGCCUCUUGCUUCCCUACCUCAACUGUGCUGGCUCGGAGACAAAGUGCCCAGGCUGAGCGGGACUUGACUAAAUCUUAUAGCUAUGUCAACAUCCGCAAUCGGCCUCUGCAGCCUUUCUCCAUCUGCUGUCAGUCAGACACUGGCUUUACUGCCACAGGGAAGGCCCCUAAGCAUCCCCGGAGGCCCACCCUGCGGAUGCAUUCUAACUCCAUCUGGGAGAAAACUUGAGGGGUUUCUCUGUGCUUUUGUGAUGCAGCUGGACAGGUAGAUCAAACUGGAAUGUAAUUUGCGUUACGAUCCAGUUUGUGGGAAAUCAAGAGCAACUGUCUUUAGAAAAUCCUUGCAAGAAUGGAAAUACAGCUCUAGAGGCAGUUCAGACUCCACCUAGUUCCUUUAUCACGAAAAGGAUUAUCAUCUCCCCUCUCCAGGAACUACUAUCUAAGCCCAUCACUAAUUCCUAAGACUGAAGCAAAAAAAAAAAAAAANNNNNNNNNNNNNNNNNNNNGUUAGUUUUAAACUACAGAUGAGAUUCAGGCUCCAAGGAGUGGAAUUUGUUUGCCCCUUUGUUGGGAAACAUUUACAUUUCUAAGGGAAACCUCUAUCUGUGAAGAUGCCUCCCUCUCUGUGCCAGGAAGAGGGGGGGGAUGGUCUUAUCUCUAGAGGCUCUUGGUCAAUGCCAGAGGCAAGAACUUAAGUUGGUUGCUGUCUGGCAAUCUCAUGUAACUGGUUUAGGGUGGUGGCGUCUAACCUUUCUAACCUUUACUUAAUCCGAUUUGAUUCUUGUCUAAAAGUCAUGGGAUCACCCAAUGACCAGACCCCACCCGCACUGAUACCAUUUUAACUUUUUUUCAUGUUCUUUCCUUUGUCUUGUAAAGAGAUGAAUCAUAUACCUAUGCCUUAUAAAAUUAGCCCUAACCCUCAACUCGGGGCAGCAGCAGGAGCUCUGACUGCCCGUGGGUUCUGUCCCCACGCACCAGCUCUGCCUGCCCAUGGGUCCUGUCCCCAUGCCAGCGGGGGCAGCAGCAGCAGCUCUGCCUGCCCAUGGGCUCUGUCCCCAUGCCAGCGGGGGCAGCAGAAGCGGCGGCAGCAGAAGCUCUGACUGCCCAUGGGUCCUGUCCCCAUGCUAUUCCACACUAUUUUCUAAAUAAAAGAGCACUACUGCCAAAAAAAAAAAAAAAGAGAAAA
ensembl:lncRNA